rfam:Camelus ferus unplaced genomic scaffold scaffold1907, whole genome shotgun sequence.
GAGGGUAUAGCUCAAGUGAUAGAGAGCAUGCUUAGCAUGCAUGAGGUCCUGAGUUCAAUCCCCAGUACCUCCA